rnacentral:rRNA from 1 species
AUUGAACGCUGGCGGCAGGCCUAACACAUGCAAGUCGAACGGUAACAGGAAGAAGCUUGCUUCUUUGCUGACGAGUGGCGGACGGGUGAGUAAUGUCUGGGAAACUGCCUGAUGGAGGGGGAUAACUACUGGAAACGGUAGCUAAUACCGCAUAACGUCGCAAGACCAAAGAGGGGGACCUUCGGGCCUCUUGCCAUCGGAUGUGCCCAGAUGGGAUUAGCUAGUAGGUGGGUAACGGCUCACCUAGGCGACGAUCCCUAGCUGGUCUGAGAGGAUGACCAGCCACACUGGAACUGAGACACGGUCCAGACUCCUACGGGAGGCAGCAGUGGGGAAUAUUGCACAAUGGGCGCAAGCCUGAUGCAGCCAUGCCGCGUGUAUGAAGAAGGCCUCGGUGU